AUGUAUUCGGCAAUAUAAUUUAUUCAGUUUGUCUUUAAUUCGUUUUCUUUUUAAAUCACAGACAUCAGAUGUGGUCGAGCUCAUCCGGACUCAACAAAGACCUGAGACUUAUCUGAGAACUAUCUAUCGUUUUGAAGCGUCAAACAGUAAGGUCAAAGUUUUUUAUCCUGGGUGGCCGCCGUGCCCUCACUUUGGUCUUUCCUGGGCCGCCGUGCCCUCACCGCGCUUUUUUGGGCCGCCGUGCCGUCACUCCCAGCUUUCCUGGGCCGCCGUGCCCUCACUUCGCGCUUUCCUUGGCCGCCGUGCCCCUACUGCCUUUUCAUUUCAGGUGUGUCUACAUAACAUUACGUUUUAUUUUUGGAGUGUCUUUCAUUAAAUCAACAGGGGUUUAAACUUAAAACAGAGCAAAGGGCAAAACAAAACUACAAGUUUUAAAACUUCAAAUGCACCAAAAACAAAACCUCAGUCUGCUCCUACACUCACCUCGGCAGUCUUUACAAAACUCAGGUCAAAACAGUUUCCCUGAUGACCCGUCAAUCUGUGGUCAUGUCAACAUGAAUUCAGCAUUUCUUUAUUUCCUGGUGUAUUACUAAACAAAGGUCAUUCAUGGUGGAUCUUCAAAAACACUUUUAUGGGUUAUGGUUUUACAUUUCUAUUUCAGCUCCUCCAACCAAGAUAACAAUUUUGUCCAACACAGCUGUCUAAUUUCAAAACGAUUGCAUUAAUUUUCACGUCGGCAUUUUUUCACCGUGACGGUCUCAACUUGCGUUCAUUCGUCGGUCUAAAAUCCAAACUCUAGGCAUUUUAUUUUCCCCCUCUCUGAUGGUUCUCUUGUGUGAAUGCAUUUCUUGUCUUGGUCCAAUAAAGUGCAAUUUGAUUUCAAAGAGGCUUUAUUGGAGCAAACAGAAAUUGUUAUAAUAUUAAGCAGCACCUAACAUGAAAGCUGGCAGUUAAAUCCACAGCAAGGUAAUUGAUUUCAAUUCACAAAUACAUAUAGGACCUAAGUUAAGUUCAAUGGUCUAUUUGUGAAGUAUCACUCUUUAAUUCAGUGUAGUGUAAUCUCCCCUUUAAUCUAGCCUUGCUUUACAGUUCUAUAGCACUAUUUAAUCACUAUCUCAGUCUGUGGUAUAGCUAGCUUCUCAGGUAAAUCAGUUAUCCUUCACUUACAGGUGAUACUGUCUUUGCAUUUUUCUGUCUAACCCUUUCUCUCUAGGAAAUUGAAGUCAGGGUCACAAAUGCAGCCUGAGAAGAAAGUCAGGGGUUUAAAUAACGUUAGAGGCUUUAAUGAUUUGCUGGAGGAAACUGUCCCUUUUUUAUAUAUAUAUAUUAAAAUGGAUUUAGUUGAUCUUAUCUAACUCUUAAAAUUAUAAGUUUAUCUGUUUGUGCAAAAUAGAAAUAAUUUUCCACAUUAGUCAAUUUAAGAGUUAAAUUUAUUUGUACUCGGCUGUUUUUUGCAGCUUUUAUUGUACUUGAUCAAUUAGUGUUAAAUGUUUUAGCUUAUAAAGUGUUAUUCAGCCCAUGGAUACUGUGUUUACAGUCAGUAUUGUUUAAGUUGAGUGGGCACAUUCAUACAAAUAUGGAAUAGAACUUUGUCACAUGGUGGGCUGUUAUGCCCACUUAGAUAUUCAAAUGUUUAUGUAAAUCACUAGCUUUAAUAAAUGGAAAAAAAAAAUGCAUGAUGUAAAAAAUUUUGCAUUGACCACAAUUGUUUGUGUAAUUGCCUAAAUUGUGGUUUAAAAUAUAUAUUUUUAAAGGUUAAAUUGCCAUUCCUGGCUUGCCUGUCUUUGCCAAAACCACUUCCAACUGGAGAUUCAGAUCAUUUCUGCCUCCGAUGAGGUUUUUUUAUUUUUGCGUUUUAUGUUGGGAGGCCUCCCAGCAGGGGAAUUUAACCCACCCCUGUAAAAUACGUGUCAUUCGUUUAUGGUAGUGUCACUGAUAUCGCAGCAUCAGUGAUGUAGGAAUAUUUUGGACAGUUUCAGGAAUGACUGGAAUUGUUCAAACUAGCAUAGAGGCGCGUUGACUCUCUGAGAGGAAGCACAUUUGGCAGAGACAAUGGCAACAUAAUAUAGGUUACCAUAGAUAUAUACCUUUUAAUUCAUAUAUAAUAGAUUAAUGGACUAAUAACAAUUAAUUUUCAAUCCAUUUAUUGUUGGGCCCUCAUGAUCAUGAAUCUUGAGGUGUCAUUUACCAGAUUUUACAAUGUAAUUUUUAGUUUCCUGCUUUUGACAAACUUGACGUAUUAACAUUAUACUGUGGGCUGAAUUUCAGAGACAUCAUCUUGAAGUAGAUGUAGGACAGAACCUGGUGGCCUUUAGCAUGCAGCUGUAAUAUUAAUUGAAUAGCUGCAUUCAUUAAUUGUAACUUUGUUUAACUUUGUCACCUGGAUGACCUGUAGACUAAUGCUGUCUUUUUGUUUCCAUGUUAACACCCAUGUGUCCCUGGACCCAGAAAAUGGAGCGGUUUGUUAAUUGUCCAUUAUCUUUACACGUUAAUCUGAUUUCUGACAGAUUGAGUAGCUCACCUUGUUGCUAAUCUAGCGUUGUUCCCUGUUUUUAUUUUCUUUUUAUGCAGUUUUUCAUCACUCGCUGCUGUUGGCGAAAGAGAGCAGUUUCCUGAUCGAGCGUGACUUCAUGUCUGAGGUAAGAUGUGUCGUCAUACAUACACAAAGCAGACAACUUGAAAUGCUUAGUCCUAAUUUGUCUAAAUCUUUAACACGUCUCACUAGAAGUUCUGUAUUAGGACUCGGUUGUACAACCGGUCUAAAUCUUUAACAUGUCUCAUUAGAAGUAAUUUAAUUUGACAGUAUGUCACCUUUAGUCUAGUUACAGACUGACUUGGUAUGUGAGAGUUUAAGCUCCUCCAAAGGUCUGAAGCUUGUUUUUUUUGUUUGUUUUUUUUUUUUGCAUAUUUUUCUCUUUAGAUAUCAGUAAGGAUUUAAUGAGCUGGGCCUCCUUAACACUGCAGAGAACAAGGUCAACUGAGUCGACUCUAAGGAGACUUUUCUCCUUACCCUUCUUCUCUCUGUGUGAAGGAAAUCUAAUCAUGAAACCCUUACUGGUUCUUGCGUCAGCCAUGAUGGUUCAGUUUCCAAAACUAGACAAGGAUCCAUCUAGUUUUGUGAAUCUGCUCCUGCAUGCUUUGUUUUUUUGUCCCCAAACUAAGUAACUGAUAAACAUGUUUUAAUAUAGAGCAUUUCAAGUUGGAUGCUUCGUGUGUGGUAUAAUGACACAUCUUACUGAAGACGUGAAGUCAUGCUGGAUUAGGAAACUGCUCCCUUUAGCCAGCAGCAGCAGUGAGUGAAAGGCAGCAUAAAGGGGGAAUGACACACAGGACAACAAAUGGGAUUCAUUUAGUCAAGUAGUGGUCAAAGGGUUGGAGCAGUGAGGGACUAAAGUGAGGGCAGUUUAAGUGCUGGGUUUUUUAUAACCAGCUGAGAAUUGUAUCAAUAGUUUAGGAUUCUAGGAGAGUCUAGGAUUUUGGGGAACUGAUGGGUGACGCACACCUUACAAUUAAAAAUUACCAGGCAACAGUAAGGGAAAACUUAAGGUGGUACGCAGACAAACACAUGGGUGAAAAAUGUAAAGGGACAUUCAGGGCAUACUGGGCCCGAGGGCUUUUCCUCCAGUAUUAUCAGUAUAGCUUCCAAAUUAAAAUGACUUUGCAGCACAAUGAUUAGCUGUUUUGCAGAAUUUAAUGUGAUAACAAUCUUUGCUUUAGGAUUCAUAAUGCAUACUAAUACUUCUUAAAUUAAUCUACAAAGAGCCUCUGCAUAACUUAAUCCCUUAUCCCAAUCAGUAUAAAAAAGUAGUAGCAUAAAUCCAAAGAUUGUAUUGUUUCCACUUGUAGAACUUGGCGUUUUUAUAGACAUGGCAGUGUAGGAACAGGGUAGGCAGGAGGAGAGAUGGAGCCCAGGCUGUGGAUCCAGACCCAGGCUGCUGUGGUAAGAUUGGCCCUCAAACUUGGAACAGGUGAGCUACUUAAUAUUUGAUAUACCACAAAGGAGUGCAAAAGAAAUAUCUAAUUGUACUUUUUGGAUGAAUAGGUGCUGAACACACAAGCCCAACGGUGAUGGGAGGCAGCAGUUGGUUCCUUAUCCUGUGCCACCAGGGAGAUGGACGUAGGACACCAUGGACCGGAGGCUGCAACCUGGAGAGCCGAGACGAAGAUUACGAGCCAAGCUGGACCAAACCGGACCAAACCCAUGAUGAUGCUUUGCCACGGGAUGUCUUCAGGACCCAAGCUGGACGGAGCUGGACGGAACUGGACCCAAGCCCAUGAGGUUACGUUUCUACAGGAUGUCUUCAGGAUCCAUGACCCAAGACGGACCGAACUGGACCCAAGCCCAUGUUAUGUUUCUACAGGAUGUCUUCAAGAUGCAUGACCUAAGCUCUACCAAACUGGACCAAACCCACGAUGCCUCCAAGAUCCAUGACCCAAGCCUGACUGAACUGGACCCAAGCCCAUGAUGUUAUGUUUCUACAGGAUGUCUUCAAGAUCCAUGACCUAAACUGGACCAAACCCACGAUGCUGCUUUGCCACAGGAUGUCUCCAAGAUCCAUGACCCAAGCCUGACUGAACUGGACCCAAGCCCAUGAUGUUAUGUUUCUACAGGAUGUCUUCAAUAGUCAUGAUCUGAAACAAACUGGACCCAAGCCCAUGAUGUUAUGUUUCUACAGGAUGUCUUCAAGAUCCCUGACCCAAGCCGGACCAAACCCAUGACGUUUUGUUGCCACUGGAUUUCCUCAGCGUUCAUGACUCAAGCUGACCAAGCCCUUGCUUCACCCUGUCCUAAAAUCCUCACCUUCAAAUGGCUGUGCCCAAACUACAAGAUAUGGUCAACACCCUGUCCUGAGUUUUCCAUGAACUGUACCCCUGAAAACCAGAGACCUUUUUAUGUCAACGAUAAACAAAAAGCUACAACCUAUAGCGCAAAGGGCUUGAUGCUUUAUCCUUUUUUGCCCAAUUGCUUCAACAGACUCAUCAAUGUUUAAGUCUAAAUUUUAAUUUAGACUUAAACUUUAAUUUAUUUUCUGCGAUAAUUAAAUGGCAUGUUUACGAAACAAUUUGUAUUUAAUGUUUAAGGAAACGUGCAGGAGAUGUUAAAAUCCCUGUGCAUGUUCUUUUAGAAUCAACAUUUUCAUUUUUCUUAAUGUAGAAUCAUUCAGGAUUUAAUGAGCUGGGCCUCCUUAACACUACAGAGAACAAGGUUAACCGAGUCGACUCAAGGAGACUUUUCUCCUUCCCUUCUUCUCUCUGUGUGAAGGAAACCUGACCAUUUUAUCCUGACUGACUGGUGAACCAUGGUCGUGCAGUUUCCAAAACUAGAAAAGGAUCCUUCUAGCUUUGUGAAUCAGCUCAACGUGGUAUUACCCACUUGUUAAAUAUUAAUCAUGUAAAGCUAAAUGUCUUUUUGUAGACCAGAGUCUGAAGCCUUUGGGCAAAACUGGGUCUUAUUUCAAAUGUAAUUGUCAAAAUGAAUUGUCUUGUCACCCAUACGUACAACCUUGUUUUCCUGUCAUUCAUAUACUGUACUUGCAUCAAUUCAUUUUGUCAAAUUAAAAUUUACAUUUGAACUAA